AGAGUUUGAUCAUGGCUCAGAAUCAACGCUGGCGGCGUGCUAACACAUGCAAGUCGCACGAGAAAGGGGAGCAAUCCCUGAGUAAAGUGGCGCACGGGUGAGUAACACGUGAAUUAUCUACCUCCGAGUGGGGAAUAACCUAGAGAAAUCUGGGCUAAUACCGCAUAACACUUACGAGUCAAAGCAGCAAUGCGCUUGGAGAGGAGUUCGCGGCCGAUUAGCUAGUUGGCGGGGUAAUGGCCCACCAAGGCGAUGAUCGGUAUCCGGCCUGAGAGGGCGCACGGACACACUGGAACUGAAACACGGUCCAGACUCCUACGGGAGGCAGCAGUGGGGAAUUUUGCGCAAUGGGGGAAACCCUGACGCAGCAACGCCGCGUGGAGGAUGAAAUAUCUUGGUAUGUAAACUCCUUUCGAUGGGGAAGAUUAUGACGGUACCCAUAGAAGAAGCCCCGGCUAACUUCGUGCCAGCAGCCGCGGUAAUACGAGGGGGGCAAGCGUUGUUCGGAUUUAUUGGGCGUAAAGGGUGCGUAGGCGGUUUGGCAAGUCUUAUGUGAAAUCUUCGGGCUCAACCCGAAGUCUGCAUAAGAAACUGCCGGGCUUGAGUAUGGGAGAGGUGAGUGGAAUUUCCGGUGUAGCGGUGAAAUGCGUAGAUAUCGGAAGGAACACCUGUGGCGAAAGCGGCUCACUGGACCAUAACUGACGCUGAUGCACGAAAGCUAGGGGAGCAAACAGAUUAGAUACCCUAGUAGUCC
rnacentral:rRNA from 1 species